rnacentral:rRNA from 1 species
GACGAACGCUGGCGGCGUGCCUAAUACAUGCAAGUCGAACGAGAGCGACCGGUGCUUGCACUGGUCAAUCUAGUGGCGAACGGGUGAGUAACACGUGGGUAACCUGCUCAUCAGAGGGGGAUAACAUCCGGAAACGGAUGCUAAAACCGCAUAGGUCUUCGAGCCGCAUGGCUUGAAGAGGAAAAGAGGCGCAAGCUUCUGCUGAUGGAUGGACCCGCGGUGCAUUAGCUAGUUGGUGAGGUAACGGCUCACCAAGGCCGUGAUGCAUAGCCGACCUGAGAGGGUGAUCGGCCACAUUGGGACUGAGACACGGCCCAAACUCCUACGGGAGGCAGCAGUAGGGAAUCUUCCGCAAUGGACGCAAGUCUGACGGAGCAACGCCGCGUGAGUGAAGAAGGUUUUCGGAUCGUAAAACUCUGUUGUUAGAGAAGAACAAGUGCUAGAGUAACUGUUAGCGCCCUGACGGUAUCUAACCAGAAAGCCACGGCUAACUACGUG